CCGCUGCCACCGCCACAGCCACAGCCGCAGCCGCCACCGCAGCCGCCACCGCCCGGCCUCGACCAGUCGCUCGUCCCACACGGCUUUAUGAACUGGUCGCUGGGCGGCAGCGGCGACGGCGCUGAGGGCCCGUUCGUCCCGUCGACGGAGGCCGGCGGAGCCCCAGAUGCUUUCCUGCACCGAGCGUUCAACGUGCGCUUCCAGCGUCUGCUGCAGCAGCAGCGCUACGACCAGCUUCUGGCGCGUGCACCGCCGCCGCCGC